rnacentral:rRNA from 1 species
GGAAUAUUGGACAAUGGGGGCAACUCUGAUCCAGCCAUGCCGCGUGUGUGAAGAAGGCUUUCGGGUUGUAAAGCACUUUCAGUGAGGAGGAAAACCUUGCGACUAAUACUCGUAAGGCUUGACGUCACCCACAGAAGACGCACCGGCUAACUCCGUUCCAGCAGCCGCGGUAAUCCGGCGGGUGCAAGCGUUAAGCGGAAUUACUGGGCGUAAAGCGCGCGUAGGUGGUUUGAUAAGCGAGAUGUGAAAGCCCCGGGCUCAACCUGGGAACGGCAUUUCGAACUGUCAGGCUAGAGUAUGGUAGAGGAGUGUGGAAUUUCCUGUGUAGCGGUGAAAUGCGUAGAUAUAGGAAGGAACACCAGUGGCGAAGGCGGCACUCUGGACCAAUACUGACACUGAGGUGCGAAAGCGUGGGGAGCA